GUGUCAGCCGCCGCGGUAAUACGUAGGGUGCAAGCGUUAAUCGGAAUUACUGGGCGUAAAGGGUGUGUAGGCGGUUUAUUAAGUCUGAUGUGAAAUCCCCGGGCUCAACCUGGGAACUGCGUUGGAUACUGGUAAACUAGAGUACGUAAGAGGGGGGUGGAAUUCCACGUGUAGCAGUGAAAUGCGUAGAGAUGUGGAGGAACACCGAUGGCGAAGGCAACCCCCUGGGACGAUACUGACGCUGAGGCACGAAAGCGUGGGGAGCAAACAGGAUUAGAUACCCUCGUAGUCC
rnacentral:rRNA from 1 species